CUCUAAAUACAACAGGUGUUAUACAUUACAGUGAAACGCUUACUUACAAGCCCUUAACUAACAAUGCAGUUUUAAGAAAAAUAAGAUUUAAGAAAAUAUUUACUAAACAAACUAAAGUAAAAAGAAAGAAAGUAACACAAAAUAACAAGGCUAUAUACAGGGGGUACUUGCUGUAUGGGAUGAAAACGAGACAACUUUUCAGUCUGAGCAACUGUAGGCUACUAAAAUGAGCAGAUGCAUACAGCCUAUGUUCGCUGUCCAUUUGGUCAGGGUAAACUAAUUGGUAACGUUAUGUAUUUAUAGUCCAUCUGUAUUUAUAGUCCAGAAAAUGUGAAUGUGAUCAAAUUUUGUUUAUAUCCCAAAUCGGGCUGGCUAGGCUGCCAAUACGUUUUCAAUCCAAAAUGAUUAACUGGAAAGAAUCAAUCAACAUAAUAGUAAUGACAGAUGUUAGUAAACAAUUCUAUAAGGCCUACAGUUGCAUAGGACUGCAUGAUACAAACAUUCAUAAAGCAAACUCAGCCCUCAGUUGAUGAUCAGGGCGUUUAUUCAAAUCAAAUCAAAUGUAUUUAUAUAGCCCUUCGUACAUCAGCUGAUAUCUCAAAGUGCUGUACAGAAACCCAGCCUAAAACCCCAAACAGCAAGCAAUGCAGGUGUAGAAGCACGGUGGCUAGGAAAAACUCCCUAGAAAGGCCAAAACCUAGGAAGAAACCUAGAGAGGAUCCAGGCUAUGUGGGGUGGCCAGUCCUCUUCUGGCUGUGCCGGGUGGAGAUUAUAACAGACCAAGAUGUUCAAAUGUUCAUAAAUGACCAGCAUGGUCGAAUAAUAAUAAGGCAGAACAGUUGAAACUGGAGCAGCAGCACAGUCAGGUGGACUGGGGACAGCAAGGAGUCAUCAUGUCAGGUAGUCCUGGGGCAAGGUCCUAGGGCUCAGGUCCUCCGAGAGAGAAAAAGAAAGAAAGAAUUAGAGAGAGCAUAUGUGGGGUGGCCAGUCCUCUUCUGGCUGUGCCUGGUGGAGAUUAUAAGUGAACAUGGCCAAGAUGUUCAAAUAUUCAAGAAUGUUUCUUGGGCUACUUUGAUGUAUUAAGUGGGCGAGAUGCCAACUCUUGUGUUUAACUUCACAGAGAAACUUGUUCAAACCUAUGAUGGAGCAGCUGUAAUGGAAUAUAUCUGAUAUUUUUUAUUUAUAUCUGAUAUUUUUUAUUUUUUAUUUUUUAUUUAUUUUAAGUCCCCUGCUGUUCCCUGAUUUUAAGAGGUGAUGACCAGUCCACUCUACUACCAUUGUCAACUCUGUCCUGACAUGAACUUAAGCCACGUCUCAUGUGCCCGCUCAUCCACUGGCACGUUGCAUGUUUCCUCUCCAAGCACUGCAAAUCCUGCAUUGAAGUCAAGCCUGUGAACACCUCAACUCAUGCCUCAUACACUCAUUCAACUGUGUAGCUAGCCCUCUCAUUCCCAAUCCCCAUAAUAUUGUACUAU
ensembl:lncRNA